UACGAAGGGGGCUAGCGUUGUUCGGAUUUACUGGGCGUAAAGGGCGCGUAGGCGGAUUUUUAAGUCAGGGGUGAAAUCCCAAGGCUCAACCUUGGAACUGCCUUUGAUACUGGAAGUCUUGAGCUCGGGAGAGGUGAGUGGAACUGCGAGUGUAGAGGUGAAAUUCGUAGAUAUUCGCAAGAACACCAGUGGCGAAGGCGGCUCACUGGCCCGAUACUGACGCUGAGGUGCGAAAGCGUGGGGAGCAAACAGGG
rnacentral:rRNA from 1 species